rnacentral:rRNA from 1 species
UACGGAGGGUGCAAACGUUGCUCGGAAUCAUUGGGCGUAAAGCGCACGUAGGCGGCCUGUUAAGUCGGGUGUGAAAUCCCUGGGCUCAACCCAGGAAGUGCACUCGAAACUGGCAGGCUUGAGUACUGAAGAGGGUCGCGGAAUUCCCGGUGUAGAGGUGAAAUUCGUAGAUAUCGGGAGGAACACCAGUGGCGAAGGCGGCGACCUGGGCAGAUACUGACGCUGAGGUGCGAAAGCGUGGGGAGCGAACAGG